AAAGUCGUAACAAGGUCUCCGUUGGUGAACCAGCGGAGGGAUCAUUACUGAGUGUAAAAACUCCCAAACCCACUGUGAACAUACCACUGUUGCUUCGGCGGACACGCCCCGGGCGCGCCCUCACAGGCGUUUUCCGGAUCCAGGCGCCCGCCGGGGAACCGAAACUCUUGUUUUCCUAGAGAAUCUCUGAGUAUGAUUAUAAAAUCAAAUCAAAACUUUCAACAACGGAUCUCUUGGCUCUG
rnacentral:misc_RNA from 1 species